GGGGCGGCCGGUUGUCCGGAGCCGAGCUGAGCACGGAUGGACGAGAAGAGCACCGCUGCAGCAAGAGUUAAAGCCCCGAUGGAGCCAUUUAAAUGCUGUUAGUGCUCUUCUUGCAGCAAAAAAAGGAAAAAAGAAAAGAAAAAGGCUGAGGUUUCACUAACCCCAGCCAGCAAGGGCAGCAGAGGGGCACAGAACAACCUGCAGGGCCCCACAGCUACCCCUGUGCAAACGGCAGCGGCUCCACCUGAACGCUCCUGCCAGGGCACAGGGCCGCAAGUUGUGUAUGGGAUAAUCUGCAAGUGCUACCAGAAAAAUAGCACUGAAUAGGAAUAGAUCACACCAAACCUGCGCUGUGAUAGGAAAGCUCUUGGUGCUCCGGCCAAGAGUUGCAAUUGGAAGGUGCUUAAAGAGAAGAAUUGCCAUAGUCAGAGUUUUGAUGGAGAAAAUGCAAGCAAGGCAGUUCAUACUUAGGUAUGACUGCUCAUGGUUUGUACCAAUUGGCCAUUGCUCCCACGGGGAAAUACAAAUAAAACCCAGAACAGUCAAGACCCCAGAAAUGAGGUGUGUAUUCUAAAGCACUGUGACUUAAAUAUCAAGACAGCGCUUGCAGCAAGAGGUCAAACUGGCAAGACGAUGCAUUUGGAUAUUGCAGAGGCUGCUCUGCCCCCACGGAGGGUUUUCCAUCCUUCAAACCAGCCACCCUUACGUAAACGUGCCAAUAUGAUGAUGUGCAGAGAAGAGGAAUUCCAAGAGAAAUCCAUCAUGGCUCACUACAACGAAUGGCGCUCCAGUUCCUGCCCUGUGCUAUGAGACCAUCCCCUCACCACACAACCAAGCAGUCACGUUCAUCCCAUUGACUGCAUGCUGUAAGGCCACCAGCUCAGCAGCAGCUAAGACAUUUUGUUUCUUUAAAGGUAAAGCCUCAGUCUAAACCCCCUUGGUGUCUCAGCCUAACAUAUGCUGGAUGGCAGAUCGUGUCAGAAGAAGCCUGUAGCCCAUCUGUUGCCAGAGAGCUGAGUCCUUACAUUCUGCCAACGCAGCUUCAGCUGACAGCAUGCUACAUCAUCUAUUUUUCUUUGUACCAAGAGUGGAAGGGCUGCCCAGCUCAGCACGACUCUCUCCCUGACUUAUCGCAUGGAGAACCACCCCACGAGCGUGGAUCUGCAAGGAGAGGUUAAGAUCACUCCAGGCUCACUCAUCUUGACAGAGGAAGAGCAGAAUUCGCCCCAUAGUCCACUCUAACACAUUCACAUGGGGAAGAGCGCUCCGCCUUUAGAAGCAUAAAGGUUGGAAAAGAUUACCAAGAGCAUCCAGCACACCCCCAGCCCAUCCCCAUCCCCUCUAUCCCUCAGCACCACGCAGUUACCCUUCUGAAAACCUCCAGGGACCUCUGACCACAGCGAGGAGGGGGCUGCGGUGUUACCAUCCUGACUCAUCUAAACGAUUCCAAAGAAAACAGACAUUGUUGAGAGAAGAAAUGCCGUGUCCAGGUAAGCUUCAUUUAUUGCAGGGCGACAGUGUCAGCUCAGAGAAAUUCAUCAGCUGAAUCAGUCAUGACGAAACUGGGAAAAUUCCAAGGCAAGAGAAGGCAUUGAUUGCAUCUUCCUCUGAGCAAAACUCCUCCGAAGCAGCUGUGACUAAGGCACUGAUUCAGUAAAGCCAACAGGCCAUAUUAAGCUCAGCUAGAUGAUUUUGCUUGGGUAGAUGACUAACUGGUUUGAACUGGCACGUCAGUGGUUGAGGAACUGGUGAUAUGGGAGCACUCCAUCUGCAGCAGAGACGAGAAAUUGGAAGCGAUCCGUGUCACCACGGAUGUUCCACUGGCACUUAAUCCAGAAGCACGGCAAAUAAAACACCCUCUCAAUGCCUUUCAUAUUACAGAAUUGGAUUUAAAUUGCCCAAUGUGAAGCUAUGCACCAGUCCUAUUUGCUGUUAAGCAGCCGCUCUGCUGCUUGCCAGAGGUGACUGCCUUUCACAAGCUGCCAGAGCUUCUCACUUGCUCUGAAAUGCCACAUGCCAUUAUUUCAAGAGAAACUCACAAGAUCCAACUUCAGCACCUCCAUUUUUACCACCUAUCUCCCUCCUACUCUCCGACCUGCUUCUCGAGCUCAAAAAACACAUUGAUUUUGAUUUUAUUAGUAAGCAACAAAACUGGAACAAAUGGCUCCUGGCAGAACAUGUUUUCUGUUACAGCUGAAAAACUAUCAGACUGAUGCCCUUGAAACGCAUGGUGUGACUAAUGCCCAGCUUGCAAGGACCCAGGGGGACACGUAUUUAUUGCACUUUUCAGAAUGGAGCUGAGCAGCCAGAAAUGAAAAGAUAAGGUGAUAGGUAAAGAUGAAUGCGGUAGCCUGCUUGCUGCUCAAAGGAGGACGGUGCAUAUCGCACAUAGAGAGGGAUGUGAGACACGUUGAAUGAAGUAACCAGCAAAUCUGUGUCUGACUGUUACAUCUCAGGCUCAUAACUGAUUUUGAAUGCACUCAGCGUGCCCUGUAUCUAGAUAGUAAUUCUGGACCCUUAUUCCAAAGGGGAGCUGAGGGGAAAGAGGGUUCAGGCUUCAAAUAGUCUGGAAGUGGGUUGAGAAAAUGGUUGGGUCUUUAUUUAAAGAGAAUAGAACUGGCCUUGGCUUGAUUUUUGUCUCACUCCUUCAAUUAAUGUAUGCACAUUAGCUUACUUCCCAAAUAUGAUUGCUUUUAAAGAGAAGUCAAACGCAGAACCCAGCUGCAUCUCAUCUAUGGAGCAUUUGCUUUAUCACAGCUGCCCUGAAACCGGUGCUGAAAGGAGACCAAUUGCCAUAGAGACUAUGCUGUAAAGUAAUUAAGCUCAUGAUAGAGUUGCAUGCACAGCCAAGCAAAAUAUUACAUGCAGACAACAACAGAGCAGUUUCUUAGAAUCUGUAUUUCAGCUCCACUGCAGGUCCCUCCACUCCCACCUACAUCUUUCCUAGCCUUGCUAUCCCUAAACAUACAGAGUUGCAAUAUUCUCAACAUAAAGAGGCAUUAAAUUAAAGCAUUUUUAAAUUUGGUGGCUGAUAAUUUUGUCCUUUUUAAUGCUUUGGAACCUGGGUGUAUAUAUUAGAGGAGAAAGAAUUAGGGGACUGGUUUUGCCUGCACUUGAAUGUUUCUAGAAGUGCUUUGAUCAUGUGUGAGAAUUGAUUUAGGCGAUGCAAAUGAAGGCCCUGGCAAUCUGAAGCAGCAAAUCUUCUCCCCUGACAUUUCUGAACAUUCAGAGAAUUCUCAACGAGCCACUGAAGUAUGGGUUUAUCAGAGAGACAAAAAGAAAAUGGAAUAAGCGAAGAAGCACAUAGAAACGGCCGCUUCCUCAACAAAAGCACCAGCAUUAGCAAUCCUUCCAUCUUGUUCGUUACUUCUUUCCUGUUUAGAAUUACCUUCUCUUGCAAAAUAUGCAUCCAGAAGCAUGAAAGCAAUGAAGGAAAGCUGCAAGCCUUUCUGCACUAAGAGAUGGGCUGCAUAUUCUGCAACACGAUUAUAAUAUCUUACAACUCAUUAGCACCUACCAUCCUAGGACCUCCAAGCAUUUUACAAGCGUUAGUUAAUGCAC
ensembl:lncRNA